ACGCUUGAAGUCAGUCGCGUUGGCCGGGGAUCAGCCUUGCUUUUGCAUGGUGUACUUUCCGGUUGAUGGGUCAGCAUCAAUUUUGACCGCUGGAAAAAGGCUUGGGGAAUGUGGCAGCUCCGGCUGUGUUAUAGCCCCUUGUCAUAUACAGCGGUUGGGAUUGAGGAACUCAGCACGCCGCAAGGCCGGGGUCAAACCACGUUCGUGCUUAGGAUGCUGGCAUAAUGGCUUUAAGCGACCCGUCUUGAAACACGGACCAAGGAGUC
rnacentral:rRNA from 1 species